rnacentral:rRNA from 1 species
CACGUAGGCACCAAGCGUUGUCCGGAUUUAUUGGGCGUAAGGAGCUCGUAGGCGGUUCAGUAAGUCGGGUGUGAAAACUUUGGGCUUAACCCAAAGCGUGCAUCUGAUACUGCUGUGACUUGAGUUCGGUAGGGGAGUGGGGAAUUCCUAGUGUAGCGGUGAAAUGCGCAGAUAUUAGGAGGAACACCGGUGGCGAAGGCGCCACUCUGGGCCGAAACUGACGCUGAGGAGCGAAAGCAUGGGUAGCAAACAGG